AUGUUGCGCGCGGGAGGAAGCCGGCUCGUCGCCCCCGGACUCCGGCGUCUCCUCGGCCCGGGCGCCGGCGAGAGGGCGGCGCCGGGGCUGGCGGCGGCGGGGGCGAGGGCGUACCACGAGCGGGUGGUGGACCACUACAACAACCCGCGGAACGUCGGGUCUUUCGACAAGGACGACCCCAACGUCGGCACCGGGCUGGUCGGCGCGCCGGCCUGCGGCGACGUCAUGAAGCUGCAGAUCCGUUUCGACGAAGGCACCGGGAAGAUCGUCGACGCCUGCUUCAAGACCUUCGGCUGCGGCUCCGCAAUCGCCUCGUCCUCCGUCGCUACUGAAUGGGUGAAGGGAAAGCAAAUGGAGGAAGUAGUGAGUAUCAAGAACACUGAGAUUGCAAAGCACUUGUCACUUCCACCAGUAAAGCUCCAUUGCAGUAUGCUUGCUGAAGAUGCAAUUAAAGCUGCCGUGAAAGAUUAUGAAUCAAAGAAGGCGAAGCUGGGAGACAGCCCUGCAGAGAAGGCUGCCGAAGCAUGA
rnacentral:rRNA from 1 species